rnacentral:sRNA from 1 species
CAUUUCGUCAUCCGGGGAGUAGCCACCCGCGCCAAUUCGCGCGGGCCCGCCGUCGACAUACUGGGCCGAGAGGCUCCGGCGCGUGGGGAAUGAAUUCCGGCGAGACUGCGUGACACCGAAACCUCUUGUCCGGCCGGGCGGGGGUGCGGUGUUGCCCAUGUCU